AUUGAACGCUGGCGGCAGGCCUAACACAUGUAAGUCGAACGGUAACAGGAAGAAGCUUGCUUCUUUGCUGACGAGUGGCGGACGGGUGAGUAAUGUCUGGGAAACUGCCUGAUGGCGGGGGAUAACUACUGGAAACGGUAGCUAAUACCGCAUAACGUCGCAAGACCAAAGAGGGGGACCUUCGGGCCUCUUGCCAUCGGAUGUGCCCAGAUGGGAUUAGCUAGUAGGUGGGGUAACGGCUCACCUAGGCGACGAUCCCUAGCUGGUCUGAGAGGAUGACCAGCCACACUGGAACUGAGACACGGUCCAGACUCCUACGGGAGGCAGCAGUGGGGAAUAUUGCACAAUGGGCGCAAGCCUGAUGCAGCCAUGCCGCGUGUAUGAAGAAGGCCUUCGGGUUGUAAAGUACUUUCAGCGGGGAGGAGGGGAGUAAAGUUAAUACCUUUGCUCAUUGACGUUACCCGAAGAAGAAGCACCGGCUAACUCCGUG
rnacentral:rRNA from 1 species